rnacentral:rRNA from 1 species
CUUAAGGAAUUGACGGGGAGCACCACAACGGGUGGAGCCUGCGGUUAAUUGGACUCAACGCCGGGCAGCUCACCGGAUAAGACAGCUGGAUGAUAGCCGGGCUGAAGACUCUGCUUGACUAGCUGAGAGGAGGUGCAUGGCCGUCGUCAGUUCGUACUGUGAAGCAUCCUGUUAAGUCAGGCAACGAGCGAGACCCACGCCCACAGUUGCCAGCGUACUCUCUGGAGUGACGGGUACACUGUGGGACCGCCGCUGCUAAAGCGGAGGAAGGAAUGGGCAACGGUAGGUCAGUAUGCCCCGAAUAUCCCGGGCUACACGCGAGCUACAAUGGUUGGUACAAUGGGUAUCUACCCCGAAAGGGGACGGGGAUCUCCUAAAACCAAUCUUAGUUCGGAUUGAGGGCUGCAACUCGCCCUCAUGAAGCUGGAAUCCGUAGUAAUCGCGUUUCAACAGAACGCGGUGAAUACGUCCCUGCUCCUU